GGCGCCAGCGGCCGCCGCGCUCCGGGUUCUGAAUCCUCCGAGUCCGCCGCCCCGCGCGGCUGGAGGGCGCCGGUUGCACCCACUCGCCUCCUGCCUUGCCAAGUGGAGCAAACCCACUCAGGCUUCGAGUUGCACAGAGAAGAGGCAAAGAGGAAAACCACCACCCCCUUUGUCACUAAUAAAUGCUUUUCAGAUGUCUUG